rnacentral:lncRNA from 1 species
CGCGGGGAGACUGGGGUUGGCCUGGAGGCCUCCCUGGCCUGGAGAGAGACGGCCGGGGUGCGGGAGGCUGGAUCGGGUGAGGGCAAACCCAGGGCAAGCGCUGCCUGUGAAUGGCUCCAAGAUGAGUAUGCCCAACGUUGCCUCUAGCACUGAUCCCACGCUCUCCUGGAAACAAUAACCAAGAAAGGCUUCUUUGCUGUCCCCGCGCGGUUAAAAAAAAAAAAAGUAUCCUUUUCUCUCUACAGAAACUCAAGAACAGGAAUAGAAGUCCAUCCUUCCAAUAUCCUCCCAUGCCCUCAUGGCAGUCAGGUGACCUAAAUUGACGAGCCUUUUCUCUGCCCCAGGCCGGCCUAUGCGCCCCAAACUGCUCCCUUAGCUCUUCCUCCUUUGCAUACCCUCUCUUAGCCUUGGAUAACUUCUCAGUUUCCGUUCUUGCUGAAGGCGCCAGGCAUCCUGUCUCCAGAGGAAACCCCUUCAAGCCUUUAACCCUGAUGCCGUGGGCUCUAGAAUUGCCUGGACUGCAAACAGUGCAGAAACCACCCUGCAGGACUGUCCAUUUCAGGAGUCAGCACAGUGUUACCCAGUUCCUAGCUUGAGCACCCUGGGGCUACAAGGAAAGUAUUAGAUCCAGUCCCCCUUCCCCCGGAAGCUUGCUAUCUAGUUGCAGAGAAGGGGUGGCGGGUGUUGUGCUGGACUCCCAUCAAGAAACAGGCGGCACAGGAUGUGACUAAGUGGAAAAAGAAGAAGGCAAAAGAAAAACUGCUCGGGGAGAAAGAACAACUGAAAUAUGUCUGGCAAGUUGAUUCAAGAAACAGUUGCCCGGCCUCCAAACCUGGAUAAGUCUUCACCAAACUAGGUACAAAGACAAGUUCUUGCUAAAGGAGGAUACAAUUGUCCAUUGUGCUGGAGAGUGAUCUCAUGGUGCUACGUGUGGCCCUGUUCUGGUGAAGAGUGGCAGACGUCACCCUUUCUGAGGUAGACUGAGAAGUGUAAGGAAGAAGACCCAGGGGGACACACUGGAAUGCGCUACAAGUGUAGGCUUGUGAAACAAGCAUUGUGAAACAACUCACUUGUCCUUCCCGGAGAAUGUUCCUCAGUAGUGGCAGAUGCUCUGGAGUGAGAUCUCGAAGUGAUCUGAUACCCCGGCGAUGGCAGAUGGCGAUCAAAUACAGGUCAUCAAGCUGUGCAGAGACCACAGGACAAAACAAGACAAUGCUAGUUUUAGCAAGGAGGCUACCAGCCAGGGCACUCCUACCCCCCAAGGCCAAUCCAGAAGACCCUACAGCAGAGCCAAUGAGCGGGUACCCGAGGUAUGUCUGCCCUGGAUGUCAAGGGAUAGCUGAAGAACAAGAUUUCUGUGUAUUCUUUGGAACUAGGUGUGGUGGUACACGCCUGUAAUCCCAGCACUCAAGCAGAAGGACUGAGGGUUCAAAGUCUCUCUGGGCUAUACAGCAAGACCCUUUCAAAAAAGAAAUUGAGAAAGGAAGAAAAACUAUAAAACAAAAAUUUCCAUCUGGGAAUGUUUACAUAAACUAAGGAGUUGACAGGAAGAGACGGGCAAGUUCUGAAAGCCAAGCACAAAAGUCUUUGUCCUGAAGAAUUUACAACUUCACUUAAGUGCAUGUCGUUCUCCUGUAUGAAAUAAAU